ensembl:miRNA MIR1268B microRNA 1268b
ACCCGGGCGUGGUGGUGGGGGUGGGUGCCUGUAAUUCCAGCUAGUUGGGA